rnacentral:rRNA from 1 species
AUGGGAACCCGGUGUUGGUCCUCGCUCAUGCCCGAACUCAUCGACCGCAUCGGCGGCUGCCUACUGGACACCGCUGACCUUGAUUGUUACAUGGCCCUCCGCGCCGUCUGCCACAACUGGCGCGGUGCCACCGCCGACCCCAAGAAUACUCUACACACCCGCUUCCGCCCACACCAUUGGGUUAUGCUCGACUAUUCAUCCCACGGUGAGCACAUCCGCCUUCUAGUGAACACCGUCUCUGGCCGGUACCAUGGCAGGGAUAUGCCACUACUCUGCAAGUACUACAUCAUCUCCAUCACCAUCGACGGGCUCCUGGUCCUGAUGGCCAAGAUCCCGCCCCACGCCGUGUGUGUCCUCAACCCGUUCACGGGUCACAUGGUCCACUUUGUGGCGCGCAUGCGCCCCAACGUGCUCGCGGCAGCUGUCUCCGACUCAUCCCCACCCCGCCUUGUCCUCUACUGCCACGACACUAGGAAGCUAUACAUGGGCGGCCCUAACAGUGUGAGCUUCAUCAGGUACAUAACUAAUUAUGCUUGCCCUUUCGUCAGGAAGGUUGUCCAAGGUUGUGUCGCCGUCGACGGCCACCAAGGACUGAUGCCACCACUUCCUGCGAUGGUUGUCGCCAAGAUCGCCGAUCUAAUGACUCCACUCAUCGUCGGGUUUCCCGCUGACGAUCAGUUGGAUUCUCGGAAAAGUUGUUUCCUCGUGGAAUCUGCUGGAGAAAUUCUGGUCAUCUUCAAGCUUGGGAAUCAUGUGGAGGUCUUCAAGAUGGAUGGCAUGGGUGGAAACAUGCUGGUGCGCGUGAAGAACAUCGGCAGUCGUUCCAUAUUCAUCGGUCGCUCUCAAAGGUGCCUCUCCCUCGACGCCGAUAAGUUCCCGUCCAUCGAAGCCAAUUGCAUCUACUUCACGGAGUGUCUAAGUUCACCAUCGACGGACAUAUACCACCUCAAGGACGGAGAACAAGUUAAGAACGUCAUGAGCGCUGCCGGUGGAGCCGGUCCUUCAGUGAACCUAAACAUGCCCACCUUUUUGUGUCAUCCUAUGACUGAACAUCCCUGCACCAUCAUUCAGCUUCUCUCCCUCUACACUUUCAACUGGCAAUCUGGUCAAGCAUCACAGGUGUUAAAGUAUCAAGAUAGUUCUUGA